GCCUAACCCCCGUGGCUAGCUUGUGGUAUUUCUGGAACGCGCAGUCUUCUUCUUUGGUGGAAUCUUGAUCCCGCAGCGUUGUAGGGUUUUGAAUUGGCAUGCCCACCAUGUUUUGCCUGCAUUGGCGGAGCGUGACCCCUAUCUUGUAUGGCGUCAUUUUGGUGUUCGGGGUUGCUUCUUGAUGUCCUAGACGAGAAACCCAAAUCAUCCGACAAAGAUUGUUUGGAAGAGGAGAUUCUGUUUGGAGGAGGAGAUUGUUGAGAUUUGAUUCAUAAUUAUCUAUCUAGAUAGUUAUCAUGAUCUAGUGGUUACACGAUGAUUUUAAUAACAACCUCAAUCAUGAUCUAGUAGUUAUAGGGUGGUUUCAAUAACUACCUCAAUCUAGUAGUUAUAGGGUGGUUGUCACUGGGUCCUAUAAAUAAGACUGUAGUUCAUGAAGUAAGUAAGUCUGAGUCUGUGUGCAUUUGGUAUCUUGUAAGUGUUCUUAUCAAUCAUCCUGUUUUUUAAUACUACAUCAGUUUUCCUGAGUCGAAAGGCUUCUUUUUCCUUGCAUCGUAGCUCCUCCAUCCCCAACAUUUGUGGUAUCAGAGCCUAGUUUCAAUCUGAACUGGGCAUUAUGGUUUUUAACGGCAAUUCCAUGUCUCAACCCCUUAUCCCCAUCUUCUCGGGCAAAAGCUAUGAAUUUUAGAGUAUCAAGAUGAAGACUCUAUUCAAGUCUCAAGAUCUUUGAGACUUAAUAGAGAAUGAAUAUGCAGAUCCAGACUUUAUUCAAGUCUCAAGAUCUUUGAGACUUAAUAGAGAAUGGAUAUACAGAUCCAGAUGACGAAAUCAGGCUGAGGGAGAAUCGAAAGAAGGACUCAAAGGCAUUGUUCUUUAUUCAACAAACUGUACAUGAACUAAUGGGUUCCUUGCAAGCACAUGAAGUAAGGUUGAACAGGUCACUUGAAAAAAUUAAAGAAAAAACAUUUCAGGUUAAGGGUGAGUCUUCUACUUCAAAAGAAGACAAAAAAUCAGCAGUAAGAGGACGUGGCAGAGGAGGAUUUCGUGGUAGAGGAAAUGGAAGAGGAAGAGGACACUUUGAUGGGCAUGAUGAACAAGGGCAAUCAAAUUAUGAUCAAAGAAAUUACAAGAGUGGAAUUCAAUGUCAUUAUCGUAAAAAGUUUGGUCACAUGAAGGCAGAUUGCUGGAAAAGAGAAAAGCAAGCAAGCUAUGUAGAGAAAAAUGAAGAAAAUAGUAAGUUGUUUAUGACUCAUUCAUAAGUUUAUAAUAUCUCAAAUGAUAUUUGGUUUCUGGAUAGUGGAUGUUCUAAUCAUAUGUUAGGCAUAAAAUCAAUAUUUAGAGAUAUAGAUGAAACUCACAAGUUGAAAGUUAAACUUGGAGAUAGCAAACAAUCCAAGUGGAAGGGAAAGGAACAAUUGAGGUGAAGACAAAUCAAUGGAAGGUAAAAUACCUUGAUAAUGUUUUCUUUGUUCCUACUUUAUCACAUAACUUGUUGAGUGUUGGACAAUUAGUAGAUGAUGGAUAUUCAGUAAUAUUCGAUGAUGGUUCAUGCACUAUUAGAGAUAACAAAUCUGGUUUUAUUAUAGUAAAUGUUUGCAUGACACAAAACAAGAUGUUUUCAAUUUAUGUGUCAAAUAUUGAAAGGCAUGCGCUUAUCACAACUCAAAAGAAUGAGUAUAGUUUAUGACAUUUAAGAUAUGGACACCUUAACAUUAAAGGUUUAAGGUUGUUAAGUCAAAAAGGAAUGGUUUUCGGAUUGCCCAAGAUUAAUACACUUGAUGUAUGUGAAGGAUGUAUUUAUGACAAAUAAAGUAAAAAAUCAUUUCCUAUUGGAAAAGCAUGGAGAGCAUCAAAUUGUCUUGAAUUAAUUCAUGCUGACUUACGUGGACCUAUGAAUACAAAAUUAUUUGGUGGAAGUCAAUAUUUUUUAUUGUUUACGGAUGAUUAUAGUCGCAUGAGUUGGGUAUAUUUUUUGAAAUUGAAAUCUGAAACAUUUGAUAAUUUUCGAAAGUUUAAGGCACUUGUAGAAAGACAAAGUGGUAGAUAUAUAAAGAUACUUCGGACAGAUAGAGGUGGUGAAUUUUUAUCUAAUGAGUUUAAUUCUUUUUGUGAAGAAAAUGGUAUUCACAGAGAAUUGACAGCACCAUAUACACCGAAGUAAAAUGGUGUAGCUGAACGUAAGAAUCAAACUGUUGUUGAAAUGACAAGAAGUUUACUUAAAGGAAAAUAUCUUCCAAAUCAGUUUUGGGCAGAAGCAGUUGCAACAACAGUUUAUUUGUUGAAUAUUUCACCAACAAAGACUGUUAUGAAUCGAACUCCUUUUGAGGCUUGGUAUGGUAUGAAACCAAGUGUUAGACAUCUAAGAAUUUUUGGUUGUAUUGCUUAUGCUUUGGUGAAUUCACAAAAUCAUCACAAGCUUGAUGAAAAAUCUGAAAAAUACAUUUUAAUUAGUUAUUCUUUACAAUCGAAAGCAUAUCGAUUAUAUAACCCUGUUAGUGGCAAAGUUAUUAUUAACAGAAAUGUUAUGUUUGAUGAAAGGGCAAGUUGGAAUUGGGAGACCAAUAAAGGUGAAACACAAAUGCAGAUUCCAGCAGAACUAGACACUCUACAGAAUUAAGUGACAGAUCCUGCUCCAACAAGUUCAUCGUCAACCUCACCCAAUAACAGUUCAAAUUCGGAUUCCUCAGAUGAAACCCCUCCAAGAAAUUUCAGAUCAUUAACAGAAAUUUAUAACUCAACAUUUGCUUUGUUUAUUUCAGAUCCAACAACCUUUGAGGAAGCAGUUAAAAAAGAGGAAUGGAGAAAAACAAUGAAGGAGGAAAUCAAGUCAAUUGAGAAGAAUGAAACUUGGGAGCUAAUGGAUCUACCGAAAGAAAAGAAAGUGAUUGGGUUAAAAUGAGUAUUCAAAACAAAAUUUAAAUGCAAAUUAUUUGGUUUCACUAAUAGUGAUUGUGCAGGAGCUUUAGAUGAUCGAAAGAGUACCUCAGGCAAGUGGAGUCAUAACAAUAAAGUAUUGUGGAACGGAUGAACAAGUUGCGGAUAUCUUCACCAAAUCGCUUCUAGUUCGAAAACAUGUUUAUUUUAUGUCGCAAAUUGGUGUAUGCAACUAUGAAUCAAGGGGGAGUGUUGAGAUUUGAUUCAUAGUUAUCUAUCUAGAUAAUUAUCAUGAUCUAGUGGUUACAUGAUGAUUUUAAUAGUCAUCUCAAUCAUGAUCUACUAGUUAUAGGGUGGUUUCAAUAACUACCUCAAUCUAGUAGUUAUAGGGUGGUUGUCACUAGGUCCUAUAAAUAGGACUGUAGUUCAUGAAGCAAGUAAGUGUGAGUCUGUGUGCAUUUGGUAUCUUGUAAGUGUUCUUAUCAAUCCUUCUGUUUUUUAAUACUACAUCAGUUUUCCUGAGUCGAAAGGCUUUUUUUUUCUUGCAUCGUAGUUUUCUGUUUUUUCCUUGCUCCUCCAUCCCCAACAGAGAUACGGAGGGAAGAGAGAGCGGAGAAAGUGAGGGUGGAAGAGAGAAGUGGAAAGGACCAAGAUCUCUCUGAACCCCAUUCUGAUCAAGUAGAGGAAAAGAAAGAUGUUUCGGUUAUCUUUCUCCUCUCUCCCAAUCUCAUUUAUCUAUACAAUGGGAGGGAGAGUGAUCUUUUAUUAGUAUUAUUAUUUUGCUUUCUUUCCUUUUUCAUGUCUCAUCUGUUGGCUGCCUUCUGUUCUCCCUUUUUUCUGUCUUCUGGCCUUUCUCCCCCUUUCUCAUAUCCUGGUGGUACUAUUUAUUUUUGUUUUCCUUCCCAGCCAAAAGUGAUGACUUGUAUCUUGUCAACAAGGGACAUAGUUGAUGACCUCUGUUAAGACGAAUUCCAGAGCCUACCAAUUGUUUCUUUAUUAGAGAUAGGGAGUAGAGAAGAGACGGGUUGCUUCUGUUUUUAGACCAAAAGAUCAGAGAAUGAAGUUCAUAAAUUGAUAUUUGUACCUAUACAGGAGGGAAUCCGGGAGACGUGUGGUGUUGUUGUUCUGCGAUAUCUGAAAACAAUAUGCCAAGAAAUCACAUUUGAUAAGCAAAUUUGAAUGUUUCUUUCCAAUAAAUAAAAAUAGAGUGACCACCAGCUGUAGGCUGUCAUGGAGAAUUUUCUACGGAAGUUCUUGAUCAACAAUUUGACCAAAUCAUUAGUGUUUUCUCUAAAUUGUUUGGAUGUGUGUAUCCUUAUCACCUAAAGUUGCAUAAUGUCAAGUUUAGCAAACGGAACUGCACGGAGUUACAGGCAUCCACAGAGACACACUUUGCCAUUAGUUUCCAUACGCUUUUGCUUUUUUCUUCCUAGUUGUUAAAUAAAAGCUGCAAUUUUUUUUUUUACUGAAUUCUUCAUAUCAACCUGUAACUUUUGUCUUACAAUUUUACUAUUACUUGAAUAAAGUAUGAUGUACAAUAUUUAUGCUCGAAAAAGGAAAAGGUUCACAAUAUCAAUUUUGUUUCUGAUUAUGAAACACGGAAGCAAACUAGGUCAUCGACUUGGUAUAUGUUUUUGCUAGGGAAUGUGAAUGUGGAUUGGUAUGAUUAAUGAGUUUGUAUAAACGUGUCAAGUUUAUGACAUGAAGACAUAUAAGUUGGUUUGGUGGGCUUAGUAACAACCAUCUGGAAGAUUUCAAUGCCUAAUCAAUUGUUUAGCACUAAAUUUUACAAUGUUAAGUGUUUAAUUUUAUCUCAUGGUGGGGCUGAGACAGCACUAACCGAUGCUAUGGGCAUAGUAAAGAUUUGGAUGGUGGUCUUUCCCUAGAGGUAACUUAAUUUGUACUUGCUUUUCAGAAUGUGAAGGAGCCCAUUCACUUAGUGGAAGAAGUUAUGAUGACUUAAAGAUAAUUAUAUGUUUAUCUAAAAGAAAACCCACUAACUCGAUUGUUGUUUACCUGACAUUGGUCAAAACUGUAUGAGUGGAGAGGAAGAAUUUAUGGAACCAUGAGUCUGUUUGUCUGGUUUGUGUUACUACUUAAAUAAAAGAGAUUAUUUUCACAAGUGAUCUGCAAAAGAGGCUUAAAUCUCAAACUAUGAUUGACAAAUAAAUGCAUUGAUGCUUGCUGAUGCCCUCGAAAUAAAGCAAUAAGGUUAGUUUGUCUGAUUUGUCAUUAUUUUGGAUUCGUCAUAUAUUAAUGAAGCAAUUAUUUUUGUUAAACUACUAUACUGCUCUGACAUGAAUAAUAGGUGUGCCAAACUUAUUACUGUAUGUUCAGGAAAUACUUAAGUUUAAUUUAAAGGAAAAUGCCAUCUAUUAAUUGAAUAUUUUGGUGCCUGAUGUUUUAUUUAUUCACUACUUGGCACAUAUUAUAUACAUGUGUAACCGGUUUGUUAAACUCUCCCAUUAAAUUUCUGCCAUUGUUCUAUUUUUUUCACUCAAUAAGGUAAACCUUUACAAGGGCCUUAAGUCUUAUUGUUCUGGUUUUGGAUUAGCCUUCACUACCGUCUCCUUUUUUUCAUGUAUUGAGCUGGAUCAUUUCUAUGUACCAUUUACUCUCUUUUUUGUUGACCUAUCCUUUCAGACCCUUUAAUGCAACAUGAAAUAAGGUCUGUGCUAAUGAAAAGGUUAUGGCAUAGCAACUGCUUAUUAUACUCACUUCUUUUAGCACUAUAAACUAACUAAAGUUGCUUCUAGUUUUUCACCUUAUUUUUGCUUCAAUUUUUUUAUGUCUUGUUUCAUUGAAGCCCAGUCAUGCAUGUAAAUGGCAAUAGUUUGAGGUACAUGGAAGCACCAGUAGUUCUCAAAAUGAUAAAUUUUGAAAACAAAAACUAGGUAUUUCAUAUAUUAAUGCAGAUAGUUUUGAUUCUCAAUACCUAAAUAGUUAAAAUGAAAAAAAAAACAUACGGAUUUUGUCUUAGCACUAGCAAACCUUGUUGGUUAACAAUAUUGGAGAAUAGGUAAACUCAUUUUAAGUUAGUUUUUCAACUUCUAUAAUUUGAUCAUGUUUUAUGGGUUUGAUGGAAGAAAGACGGAAGUAUUUAUUUCUUUUUUCUCUUUUCCUGUCUUAUUGGGGUUCAUCUUUAUCUCCUCAAAGGUUCAAACUAGUCUAUUUACAUGAAAACAAAGCUAAAACCAGUAGUUAUCUCUGAUCUUUGACAGAUAAUUUUAUGAGGAAUAUAUUUGUUGAUGGCCAUAAAAUGGAAGAUUUAAGGAAAUAUUUGGCCCACAUCAACUUUUUACAAUGCAAACACUGGUUAAAAGUAGGUUAGUAUUUGGAGUGCCAUAUCACAUCACUGAAUUCCUUUGUCCAUCGAUUAAUUAGUUUAUUACACGUUUGAGGAAAUAUGAGGCCAUCCCACUAAGCAAUGUCUGCCAAUGGUGCAGACUACAGUUACAAGCCUGUUGUUCACCUCUCACUAUAAAAUGCUGAUGUUUCCCUUAAUUUCUAACAUAAGGCAUCCAAUCUCCUUGGUUACUCCUUGCUUGUCCUCGUGAAGCAGCAAGAGAAUCUAGGAUGAAAUCAAGGUUUCUAUGGCUUCUUCUUGUUUUCUCGAUGAUGAUUUGCAUCUUGGCCACACAUAAAAUGACCUUCACGGAGAUGGAAAAUGUUAAGAGCACACUCGGAUACUCUGGGAGUGGUAUUGAUAACCAUCAUAGCAUACCUAGAGAACAAUAUAACAGCCGUGGUAGUGGCAGCACUGGCCAGCAACCCUCAUAUGGGGACGAAGGAAAUAACCAAGGAAGCGGGGGUGGUGGUGUAAAUUAGUAACUGCAUUGGGAUGUUAAGGUGCAUGGUUUUUGUGUCGACAACAUGUUGAUGAAUGUCUGUUGAGAGUUACUUUUUAUAGUUCAAUAAAUAUGUAAUUUGAGAGUGUUAGUAGAUGCAAAAUAUAAACUAUUUCUGACUAAGAUUGAUGUAAAUUGGAGAGCUUGGUAUUUUGUAAUGCAGUAUUACUCUGAAUGAUACAAGUAGUUUCAUAUACAGUACUUCCAGUGGUCAGUCUCUUAUUGCAAAAUCUUGUUAUCUUCUUUAACAUAUUAUAUAAUUAGCAUGUCAAAUCAAAAUCAUCAUAUUGGUUUUAAUUUAAUUCUUGGGCAUAUAUCUGGAUAUAUCUCUAGAGGGGUUGAAAGUCACCAAGCUAAUUAUGUGAAAGCUGCAUCAAGUUUAGGAAAACUAAAGAAACCUAUUUAUGAAAAACAAGAGAACUAGAUAGCUAGCAUCAAUAUGUAAAUUUUGAUGAAGGAGAAUUUUGGAUUGUAGAAAAAGUUCUCCAUUUGACCAGCAUGUAGAUAUAUAGGCAUUAAUUUGAAUAUUUAAGUUUCUCAUGGAAAAGCAAUGAUUGUGAAAUCUAGAUGCUUAUUCAGGUUUAACUUGUUAAAAAGUCAUCAUAUAUACUAUAAGACUGAAGGGAAAUUCCUGUGCAUGGAAACCUCAACAUUAGUGGGAAAACAUGGGAAUAAGAUGGUCUUUUUUUAAUCUAAAUCUGCACUAAAAUUUAAUUUUGGAUGGUCUUUUUACAUGGCCAUUUCGACCUAAAUUGUGUUAUCUAAAUUAUCCCAUAUAUAUCGGUUAUAACCAAUACUGAUUCUUGAUCAAGCUUUUUUACAUAUAAUGUCAGUGUUGCUGAUUAGAGCUUGAGCAACUAUGUGAGCUCAACAAAAUACAUAGUAGGCUUAUGAAGUUUGCUAGACUACAAAUGACCAAGUAGCUUAUGUGGAACUCCCAUUCUGGUACACUUGGAAAAUGAUAUGAAGAGUGUAAAUCCUCUACAACCUUGAUUCCUAAUACCCAUUACUCAGUCUCAUCAUGAAUUUUUUGGUUGGAAAACAUUGCUUGUCUAGAAUUUUUACUUUGGAAUGGCGUAUUCAAAUAAUAAAAGUUAAUUAAAAUAAGAAACUUCUGCUGGUCAGUGUAUGUCUGUGCGGACAUGUCGCUUAUGGAUCAUGAUAUGCUGUAUUGAGUACACUUUCAUUUCAAAAGAGGAACUUUUGCAGUUCAAAAAAUCUCGUGCACCAUAGACAUCAUAUAUUACAGAUGGACUAUGAUUUCCUUGCUUGCCUGUAGCACUGCACUAGCAAUUCUCUGUGGCUUGAGGAAAUAUAUUCAUCUACUAACUUUUGUAUUAUUUGUUUUUUAAGUUGUACUCUUUUUUUGUUGUUCUAGGUGGUAUAUUAUUUUUAUGCCUUUGGACUUGGACUUCACAUUCUUAGGGAUUUUGCAAAGCUCACAUGCCCAGUUGGCUGAUACUGUUCAGAGAGGGGGAAGAAAACCUGUAUAAUCCAGUACUAUUAUUUUAGAUUAGUCUUAUACUAAUUUUUUCCACGUUAUUUACAUGUAUGGUAACCAGUAACUUGGCUCCGUGAAGUAUCUUACCAUUCGGUAGCCCUUUUGUUGAUUUUCAAGUAGCAGUUUGUACUCGAUUUUUUUCUCCCCUUAAUUAACUUUGUGUUUUUGUUUACAUUUGAAACAGGUGUUUAUCUUUUCCUUCUUUCUUGUCUUUUUUGUUUAUUGCUCAUAAUACAAUUGUUACUAGUCAUCUAUCAUCUUAUUGCUUUUAAUGACUGGUGAGGCUCCCUCAAAUAGCUUUAGGUGUGAAUUAACAUGUGAAAUGACUGCUUAUGGUUGUAAUCAGUACUUUGAGCCAUCUUGAUUACUAUUAUCUUGCAUGUAUAUCAUCUUUUUAUAGUUGCUAUAUAUGUUGUGUCAUCUAUAGGUUUUGUGGUCAAUUAGGUUUAUACGCUGUUAUUAAGAGUUCAUGCAGUCAUCUAGAACUUGCAAAGAUGUCUUCUAGAAUCAUGUAUAUGGUGCAAUUUAUUGUGCUACUCUUAUAGUAAGGUGGAUCAAAUCAAGUUGUUAAACUUUUUGUCCUAAGUAACUCCACAUGAAAUAGGUGGUGCUAGUUUAUUUGCCCUUUCUUAACAUCUAUUUGUUUCUUUGUCUCCCAUUCCUAUAUAUAUAUAUAUGUGUGUGUGUGUGUGUGUGUAUUCCUUAUGUAUUUCAUUUAUCAUGUCAUUAUGCAUAUAUAGCAUUAGAGAAUGCUGAUCUCACAAACUUCAUUUUUCAAGUGUAUUUCUAAGUUGAUUUAGUAAUUGUCCUGGUUUGAAGGAUUGCUCGGCAUUCUACAUUCUGAGUUAUCCAUAGAAACAGUGUGGUCAAUAUGAGGUUAGUAUGUAAAUUCUUCCUUCUUGUUUUUUUUUUCAAAAUAAUCUUUUUUCACAUGCUUCUCCUUGCAGAUCAGAAUAACAGUUGAACGCUAGUUUCAUCAAGAAUUUCUCUAUCUAAAACCCUGUUUUGACUUUGUUUCACUAUCUGCUUAUUCAAGAAGCUUUAGGACAGAAAAGUAGUAACAUAAGAACAUGAAUUUUAUAGUUAUGGUGAAUGCAGUUGUUGUUGUAUUAGUACCUAUGGCUUACAAUGGUACUAGUUCUGUUAUUGUGUCCAAACUUGUAGCAUCCUUUAUGUUCCUUUAUACAAAUUGAUUUUUUAUUAUACCAAUAAGAAAACAACCUAAGCAGCAGAGGAAGAUAAUUAAAUAAUACACCAAGGGUGGUCAUCUUUAUGCCUUUCCUUUUGUGGAAUCCUGCCUUUCUUAAAGUCCACUCAUGUUGCAAAUUGCAUCAGGCAAGGUUGAGGAUAUCUGGUGACUGAUUUCUGAUAGCCCCUAAAUUAGCAAGCUGGUAGAUACGUGUUUGAGAGGCUUGCUCAGUGCCUUCAAGAUCUUGGCACUAAUCAAUUAUUGCCAUUAAAAUAUGCUUCUUUGGUGAUGUAUAACUACCCACCAUCUUAUGAUUUUGACUUGAGUGGAAGACCCUUAAUAUUUUAAUCAAUACCACUCCAAUUUGCUUUCUGGUCUCCUCUGUAUAAAUAAGCUUUCAGAUACCUUCACAAUUGAUAGUCUUCAAGAUUCUAGACAGUGAAUCCUGUGCAUGCAAGACUUCCUUGAGUUCAACAGAAACUUAUCUCCUGUUUCUUGUCAUGUUCUCUACUCCACUUGUCUUGAGACUCUACAACUUUCCUUCUGAGAGGACUGGAACGCUCCAAAUGUUGUUUUGCUUCUGAUGGUAGUCAUUGUUGAAACCAGCAGAGUAGAUCAUCUGCUUUUGACUAAGAACAGAAGCAUAGAAAAGCAAAUCUACUGCUUCUGUCUGAGAAAGAUAUGGCUCCAUCAUUUGGUGGCUGAAAAAAUGACAAGUGAGAUGGCUCCGUCCGUGAUGCGAUGAUAUUUAGCUGAAAAACUAGGGUGUCGGAUGGUAGCUGGAAUACCUUCCUAAUCAUGCUAUAAGAUGACAGUCUUGUCAGCAAAACAAGGAGCUUAUCCUAUGAUGAUCGUCUUCUAUAGGAUAAAUGGAGCAGGACAGAUCAGACAGGUUCAUAGACUCGAGUUUUUCUUCAUGGAAAUGGAAAUCUAUUUAUUUCACACUUCAUCCACAUUUUGAAUCCUAAGUGCAUGCCGCUGUGGAUGUCUUGGCUUGUUUCUUCCUCGUUGCCUUUUGCUUUACUUCCACUUUGAUAUUUUCUUUUGGACUCUUUUCAUCUAUCUAAUUCUUAAUUGGAUCUCUUUCUAUUCAUGUUUUACCAAAAUUUCUUUGUUCCUGUCAUUUUUAUUUUAUCUUGAAUGGGCUAAGUUUACUCUUAUCUUUACUCAGGGAAAGGAAAAGAGAGCAAGAUGUGACACUGGAAGAACAAAGGAGAAUGAAGUAGUAGAUGCAAAUAAUUGCUGAGAGGCUCUUGGAGCUGCACCGGUGACAUGCUAACAGUUCCUGGUGGUUCGCACAAGGAUUCAUGUGUACCAGAGAAGAAUAACUUGGGAGGUCAGAACGUGUGCUAGCAUAAGAUAGUUGGUAUGGUGAUACUACCUCGCUGAUCCGGCAAGCGAGCCAACGACUUCAUAGUCGAUGUAUUCUGUUUGGUAUGGCCAGAAUGAGAUUUGUUGGAUGUAUAAUUCGUCUCGGCACCAAAGUAAUAGCUCAAAUUAAACACAGAACCUGAUUAUAUGGUGAGAAAGGCCUUCGGCCUGACACCAUGUCGGAGUUUAAAUUGCUGCCGAUUCAUUUGUAAGUUUAGUACAUGAGAAAUGAUUCACUACUUUGUAUUAUGACACUUACUGUUGUGCUUGUUGACGUUAUGGAUGAAUGCAAUAGUUAUCUCAGAUGA